rnacentral:rRNA from 1 species
CGUGGGUAACCUGCCCAUCAGAGGGGAGUAACAUUCGGAAACGGAUGCUAAAACCGCAUAGGUCUUCGAACCGCAUGGUUUGAGAGGAAAGAGGCGCAAGCUUCUGCUGAUGGAUGGACCCGCGGUGCAUUAGCUAGUUGGUGAGAUAACGGCUCACCAAGGCCGUGAUGCAUAGCCGACCUGAGAGGGUGAUCGGCCACAUUGGGACUGAGACACGGCCCAA